UGCUCUCUUGGCGGCGAGUGGCGGACGGGUGAGUAAUAUAUCGGAACGUGCCCAGUAGCGGGGGAUAACUACUCGAAAGAGUGGCUAAUACCGCAUACGCCCUACGGGGGAAAGGGGGGGAUCGCAAGACCUCUCACUAUUGGAGCGGCCGAUAUCGGAUUAGCUAGUUGGUGGGGUAAAGGCUCACCAAGGCAACGAUCCGUAGCUGGUUUGAGAGGACGACCAGCCACACUGGGACUGAGACACGGCCCAGACUCCUACGGGAGGCAGCAGUGGGGAAUUUUGGACAAUGGGGGAAACCCUGAUCCAGCCAUCCCGCGUGUAUGAUGAAGGCCUUCGGGUUGUAAAGUACUUUUGGCAGAGAAGAAAAGGUAUCCCCUAAUACGGGAUACUGCUGACGGUAUCUGCAGAAUAAGCACCGGCUAACUACGUGCCAGCAGCCGCGGUAAUACGUAGGGUGCAAGCGUUAAUCGGAAUUACUGGGCGUAAAGCGUGUGUAGGCGGUUCGGAAAGAAAGAUGUGAAAUCCCAGGGCUCAACCUUGGAACUGCAUUUUUAACUGCCGAGCUAGAGUAUGUCAGAGGGGGGGAGAAUUCCACGUGUAGCAGUGAAAUGCGUAGAUAUGUGGAGGAAUACCGAUGGCGA
rnacentral:rRNA from 1 species